GUCUACAGCCAUACCACCCUGAACACGCCCGAUCUCGUCUGAUCUCGGAAGCUCAGCAGGGUCGGGCCUGGUUAGUACUUGGAUGGGAGAAAGCUCCUGUCCAAGAGAGGGACAGGAGGGGGCC
ensembl:rRNA 5S_rRNA 5S ribosomal RNA